rnacentral:rRNA from 1 species
UACGUAGGGGGCAAGCGUUGUCCGGAUUUAUUGGGCGUAAAGAGCGUGUAGGCGGCUAGGUAGGUCCGUUGUGAAAACUCGAGGCUCAACCUCGAGACGUCGGCGGAAACCAUCUGGCUAGAGUCCGGAAGAGGAGAAUGGAAUUCCCGGUGUAGCGGUGAAAUGCGCAGAUAUCGGGAAGAACACCCGUGGCGAAGGCGGUUCUCUGGGACGGUACUGACGCUGAGACGCGAAAGCGUGGGGAGCGAACAGG